AUAACCGAGGCCUUGUCUGCACAGAAACACACCAAGCCCAAACCCACCGCCCUCGGCAGCCGCGCCACGCGGGCCCUUCCUCGGCAGACUUCCCAACCUCUACUUGAGCCGCAGAGGAAAGUGAGACCCCCUAGGCUCUCCUGAAGCCAGCCCUGGGCCCCUCCCCAAGGAUGCUUUGGGAAGGAGAUAAGGAGGUGAGAUAGAAUCUGGCAGAGACGGAAGAUGAAAAAAAGACAAACGGAAGAAAAGAAAGCAGGAAGGAGCAAAGGAAAGAAGAAAAAAGAAAGAAGAGAUAAAAGAGGAAGGGAAGACAGGGAAAAGAAGGAAGAAAAGAGACAGAGGCGACUCCUAGCAGCGGCAGAGCUUACAGAGAGAAGGCCAAAGUCAAGCCCGUUUGCCAACCUGCGUGUCCAUGCCUGUAAGCCCUUCUCUCGGCCAAGGAAG
rnacentral:antisense_RNA from 1 species